GAUGAACGCUGGCGGCGUGCCUAAUACAUGCAAGUCGAGCGAACGGACGAGAAGCUUGCUUCUCUGAUGUUAGCGGCGGACGGGUGAGUAACACGUGGAUAACCUACCUAUAAGACUGGGAUAACUUCGGGAAACCGGAGCUAAUACCGGAUGAUAUUUUGAACCGCAUGGUUCAAAAGUGAAAGACGGUCUUGCUGUCACUUAUAGAUGGAUCCGCGCUGCAUUAGCUAGUUGGUAAGGUAACGGCUUACCAAGGCAACGAUGCAUAGCCGACCUGAGAGGGUGAUCGGCCACACCGGAACUGAGACACGGUCCAGACUCCUACGGGAGGCAGCAGUGGGGAAUCUUCCGCAAUGGGCGAAAGCCUGACGGAGCAACGCCGCGUGAGUGAUGAAGGUCUUCGGAUCGUAAAACUCUGUUAUUAGGGAAGAACAUAUGUGUAAGUAACUGUGCACAUCUUGACGGUACCUAAUCAGAAAGCCACGGCUAACUACGUG
rnacentral:rRNA from 1 species